CUAGUUUCAUAACAUUUCUGAUCUUUUUUUUUUUUUAUUUUAUUUUUUUAUUAACAAACAAUUUCUUGUCAAUUUCACUAUUGGCAAUUUCACAUUGGGUGUAUAAAGAUUGCCACAAAACAGCAUCUGAAUAGCUGCUAUUAAAUGCAAACUGCAAUUUACUUUUCUCUGCGAUAUCAUUUAUAAAUUCCACAAUUCAUUUGUUCCAACAAAAUCUAACUUUCCUUAUUCCAACAUGCCAAUAACCUCUUACUUAACAACAUAUACAAGAUUACACAAAGUUCCUAACUAGGUUAUUCGUCCAGCAAAUAUACCUUGUUUCCCUCACAUUCCUCACUGAGUUUACAAGCAUUUCACCCAUUCACCCCACCCCCCUGUAGCCAAUACUCAUAGCAGUCAGAGCAAGAGAAAGCAACAAAGAAGGAGGGGGGAGGAGGGAGGAAGACUUGCAAGCACAAAGUUUU